rnacentral:rRNA from 1 species
UGACGGGGACCGCUCCAGCGGUGGAUGAUGUGGAUUAAUUCUUUGCAACGCGAAAAACCUUCCUGGUCUUGACAUGUCGGAACUCCAGAGAUGGCUUGGUGCCCGAAAGGGAGCCGUAACACAGUCGCAUGGCUGUCGUCAGCUCGUGUCGUGAGAUGUUGGGUUAAGUCCCGCAACGAGCGCAACCCUUCCUUAGUUGCCAUCAUUAAGUUGGGCACUCUAAUGGGACUGCCGGUGACAAACCGGGGGAAGGGGGGAUGACGUCAAGUCCUCAUGGCCCUUAUGACCAGGGCUUCACACGUCAUCAAUGGUCCACAGAUUUAGCCAAGCCCGAGGGGACCAAUUCAUAAUUCUAUCUAUCCGGAUGCAUUC